rnacentral:rRNA from 1 species
ACCGCCAUAUUACUGUUGAAACAUCAGUAAUUGUACGAUCACCGAAGUUAAGCAACGUCGGGGCUGGUCAGUACCUAGAUGGGUGACCGCUUGGGGAUAUCAGGUGCUGUAAG